rnacentral:rRNA from 1 species
AAGUGGUACCUAAAAUUCUCUCGACGGAAGAACCUUCUGCCUUUUCCUGAUGGCUGUCCACAGGUAGAACCUGGAUAGCUACAGGGGACUUUGGGUGAGAAAAGAUGUUGUCCGUCAAUGGAGUGUUUGACAGCGUAUUCUGGUAUGACCGGUCCUCCUUUUAACCAAGCUGGAGAAGACGUUCCGUAGGUGAACCUGCGGAAGGAUCAUUACCGAGUUAGGGUCUUCCAGGCCUGACCUCCAACCCUGUGUUUAACUUACCGUGUUGCUUUGGCGGGCCCGCCCCUUCCGGGGCCGCCGGGGGCUUCAUCGCCUCUGGCCAGCGCUCGCCGGUAGCCUACUUAAAUUCAUUAUAACUACAACGUCUGAAGAUCAAUAUAAAUCGUUAAAAACUUUCAACAACGGAUCUCUUGGNUCUGGCAUCGAUGAAGAACGCAGCGAAAUGCGAUAAGUAAUGCGAAUUGCAGAAUUCAGUGAGUCAUCGAAUCUUUGAACGCACAUUGCGCCCUUUGNANUNCGAAGGGCAUGCCUGNUCNNGCGUCAUAUCAACCCUCAAGCCUGCUUGCCAUUGGACUCUGUCGCGGUCCUGCGACGGUCUUAAAGAUNACGACGGCGUCUGUCCGNCCUCGAUGCAACGAGCUUUUUACGGCACGCAUGGAAGUGGUCUGGUCGGCCCGGUCUGAACCAUUAUUUUUCACGGUUGACCUCGGAUCAGGUAGGAGUACCCGCUGAACUUAAGCAUAUCAAUAAGCGGAGGAAAAGAANCCAACAGGGAUUACCCUAGUAACGGCGAGUGAAGCGGUAACAGCUCAAAUUUGAAAUCUGGCCUUGACCGGUCCGAGUUGUAAUUUGUAGAGGAUGUUUCGGGCAAGGCUCUGGUUUAAAUUUCUUGGAACAGAAUGCCAUAGAGGGUGAGAGUCCCGUCUAGAACCAGGGGCCGCGUCCAUGUGAAACUCCUUCGACGAGUCGAGUUGUUUGGGAAUGCAGCUCAAAAUGGGUGGUAAAUUUCAUCUAAAGCUAAAUAUUGGCCAGAGACCGAUAGCGCACAAGUAGAGUGAUCGAAAGAUGAAAAGUACUUUGAAAAGAGAGUUAAACAGUAUGUGAAAUUGUUGAAAGGGAAGCGCUUGCAACCAGACUUGCGUGUGACGGUUCCCCCGGUCUUCUGACCGGGCUACUCCGUCAUGUCCAGGCCAGCAUCGGUUCGGGUGGUUGGUUAAAGGCCCCGGGAAUGUAUCUACCUCCGGGUCGACUUAUAGCCCGGGGUGUAAUGCGGCCUACCUGGACCGAGGAACGCGCUUUUGCUCGGAUGCUGGCGUAAUGGUUGUAAGCGGCC